GAGAGAGGGAGGGAGAGAGGGAGAAAUCCAAACUGGCUCCAUGCUGUCAGCACAGAGCCUGAUGCAGGGCUCAAGCUCAUGAAUGGUGAGAUCAUGACCUGAGCUGAAAUCAAGAGUUGGAUGCUCAACUGACUGAGCCACCCAGGUGCUCCUUAAAUAAGAAUUACUUGGGAGACAGGCUAUGCUAGGAUACUCAGACCCUCCUCUUUCUCCCUGGAGGCAGGAAUUAAAUCUGGUAUGCGAAAGGUAUCAUCGUACUGAUGAGACGAAAACUUUCUAAAGGGCUAAUAUACAAAGGAAACCAUUUUAGAUUUCUUUCUAGGUCAGCAUAACUGUACAUAAACUUAUUCAAACCCCAACGCUGAUUCCACCACACAUGGCCUGUACAUCUGCUUUGCGAACAUGGCCUAAAGCCUAAAGGAAAACCUUCUUGUCCUUGCGAUAUGGAUCAACACUUCCUACUCCCUGCAUUCCAUUACGAUAAAACUUGUGAUUCCUAUCUAUGUGUUCAUCUUUAAUCUGUUGACCUUGUAUAAGAUGUAAAAAGUGUAUAAACCUGUAAAAACUGUUCAUUCUCUGGAGCUCUUUCUUCCCUGUGAAGAGUGUGUUUCCCGGGUAGCUGUCCUAACUUGGGCUGGAAUAAAACUCUUUCUUCUAGAGAUUCUAAUCGGUGUGUUCACUUUGCAUCCACAUUUCUUGUAGUCAGCAGGGUACAGCGCUUGAUUCCAACCCAGGCCUUUUGUGCCCUUCUAACUUCUCUGCACCUCAUGGGCUUAUCAAGUGAGUUCUCAUGAUAUCCCAACCUCCUCAAUUUAGAUUGAGGGUCCUGACUCGUAUUCCAGUUGUUGAAGGUGGCCGGUACUGUUCUUUAGGUAGGAAUAACCUAGAGAGAUUGGAGUUGGUGGGUUGGUUGUUUUACUUUGGCAUUAUACUAAUUGAUGAUAUAAGGCUUAAGGAAGUUUUCUGGCUAGAAAUAUGAGUGACUGAAUCAUUCAGCUCAGAAGAGAAGGGACAUUUGCUCCUUCUGGUCAAAUGACACUUUGAGGAGCCCAGCAAAGAGAGACACCUGGGAGACCUUGACUGCUGAAGAAGCCCCGGACCCCUCAGAGGCAGCCAGUCCCCAAAAGGACUGACAGUAUCCGAUGAAGCCUCAGAAAGCCAUUCAGAGUGCCCGCCCGUCACCCUGCAGGCUGUGCAGGUGAACAGGUUAGGCCAGACCUUCAUAGGCCUGGAACAUCCCUGGCAGCGAACCUAGAACCUAUCGAGUAUCCUGUCUAAAGGGUGAGUGACUGUGGCCAGUUGAAGGUUGCCGCCUCAGAAAGAUUUUCAGUGUGUGGGCUCCCUCUACCUGGGGAUUGGACAGAUAGACGUGGACUGUUAGUGUUGUGGAAGUUUUUCAGUAUCGGCCCCCAAAUCUCCCGAAUUCAUAUUUCUGUGUUAGAAAAAUGCAUGCAUUUCGUUCCAGAAUGUAUUGCUAAAAAUGUGUGGACUGCCUUUUCUGUGCAGGACUAUGUGGCUGCAAGGUAUUCUUCACUAUGACACCUGGGAGACUUGAUUCUUGAGUGAGUGUGCAUGAACUGGGAGAGAGACAGAGGGAAAGAGAAUCCCAAGCAGGCUGCACACUCAGCACGGAGCCUGACACGGGGCUUGAUGCCACCACCCUGGGAUCAUGACCUGAGCCGAAAUUGAGAGUCAGAUGCCCAAAGGACUGAGCCCCCCCAGGAGGCAGCCUGCACUCGAUGGACAAGAUUCCCGUCCAAAGACCAAAGCACCUUUGAGCAUUAUCUGCAGUGUCCCGCCAUUUGCACACAUACCGCAGCUGAGGAAGCACUGAACAACCAGAAACAGCUGUUCGUAUAUCUUCCUCCUGUCAACUCGCUCACAGUCCCCUCGAGUCACUCGCUCCCAGUCCUUCUGAGAGAGGAGACCAGAGGUCUUCACAGAGGACCCUCGAGGGGACAGAGGGACAGUGUCUGCAAACAAGAAACUGAGGGCUCCUGCUUCCCAGGAGGAUGGAAUGAGAGCCGCCAUUGAAUCUGGAGCUCCAUUAACCAUUGUCUUAUCCAGUGAAGACCAUCCUGAGGGACGGCCAAGAACAUGGCUGGGUGGCGAAGGAGGAGGAGGCACGGUACAGGUAUAGACAGCAUUCAAGGGGAGGCCUUGUUGCCUGGAGGCCAGAGGUCAGUGAUCAGGACCUGGGCUGGUGUCUUCCUGGUCAUGUGGGGUGUUGCUUUUGGUCCAAGUCCAUUUGUAGUGGACAGAAACUGGAGAGUCUGGACAGCCUCCAGAUCAGGUCUCUGAGUGCUCUCCUGGGUGAUCUGGCAUGGAAUGUGUCUUACUUUAUUUGGGGGCUUAAGGCGCGUCUCUGGACGGGCAUCUGGUCAAAUCUCUUGCCGGAUGCCUCGAGGCUGAGCUUAGAGUCCUGGCCCCGUAUACAUGCAGCAGGAUGGGAGUUCAGUGUUGAGGGCAUAUUAUGACACUUGAUUUGUGUCUGUUGGGUUACAACUGGCUCAGGCUAUGUGGUUUAGAGGCAGCCAGGGGAACGUCACGGGAGCAAACUUGAGGCCUGUUGUGUGUCAGCAUGAUGAUGAGGGCAGGAUCCUGGCCAAAGUGCUUGGAUGCUGGCAGAAGGGCAUCAGUGACAGCCACUUCCUGUCUUAUUUUUUUGUCCCUGAAGUGAGGUGAAGCUCAGUUCAGGUUUUUUGAUGGGAGACCCUGUAGGGCGCAUGGGUCUCAUACCGGGUUUCUUUCCCGGCAGCUGACUUGUGAGAAUAGGGCCCAGGGUAGAUGUCUUCUUGGUUGCAUAGACAAGCACAGGCCUGUUUGGAUGCUGUGGGAGGAGACCCCACACGUACACGCAAACGUGUAUGUACCUAUGUAUGUGUGUACGUAUGUGUGUACACACACACAGUCGACCCUUGAACAACACAGGUUUGAAUUGCAUGGGACCACUUAUUCGUGGCUUUUUUUCAAUACAGUAAAACGUUGUAAGUAUAUUUUCCUUAUGUUUUCUCAAUAUCAAUUUCUUUUCUCUAGCUUACUUCGUUGUAAAAAUACAGUGUGUAACACACAUACCCUACAAAUACGUGAUAACUGACCGAUUAUGUUAUCGGGAAGGCUUCCAGGCAACACUAGGCUAUUAGUAGCUCAGUUUUGGGGAAGUCAAAAGUUCUACUCGGAUUUCCAACUGGUGGUCUGUGUGUUAAUUAGCUUGACUGUGGGAAUCCAUCACAGUAUAUAUGUAUGUAUAUCAAAGAGUCAUGUUGUAGAUAGAUUUUAACAUGAUAUGGGGGAACUUGGCAAGGGUGUGCCCUUUCACUGCGCAUUUACGUGGGGAUCCUGGGCUUGUGGCCUGGGAAGAAGCGGUGCUCCAUGAGAGGGACCCUGCAGGGAAGUGGGCUGGUUAUGGGCAGAAUGUGUCCUGGUCUUGUCCAUGUCUGUAGGCUCUGUAGAGAAUAUCUGGACUGCCUAGUAUCAGUAGUUUGGUUUUCUCUCCAUUUCUGUUCCUUAGCACGUUUGCUACCGGUUUAUGAAUAUUAUUAUUAACCAUAACAACUUCCCCCUCGUUUAUUUUUAUAUUGUCUCUUUCUGUGUCAUUAUUUUAUCCUCUUUAUUAUGUUCUUACUUCUGUA